rfam:Triticum aestivum genome assembly, contig: Triticum_aestivum_CS42_TGACv1_scaffold_406878_5BL
UAUAUACUCCCUCCAUCCGAAAAUACUUGUCAUCAAAAUGGAUAAAAAUGGAUGUAUCUAGAAUUUAAAUACGUCUAGAUACAUCCCCUUUUAUUCAUUUUGAUGACAAGUAUUUUCGGACGGAGGGAGUACAAC